CGAUAAGAUAGCAGUAACGGUAACGAGAUAUAAACAGCACUAGCAUGCACUACGACUCGCAAGGCAGACCCGAUAACCAAACAAUAGCUGUAGGUGGUUAGUGGAGGCAAUAUAGGCUGCUUGAGGUAACAAGUGGAAGGGACACGUGACAAGAACGCAACUUAAGGAUAGCAUGAGGGAGAAGGCAAAAUAAAAUAGGUGAGCGACUUCUGCAGGGGCAGGAGUAUAAGGGAAAUGCUUGCCUGUUAAAGCUUGUCGGGGGACAUCCGGAGAUCUUGUCGUAUCUCACCACACCACUUCGUGAUCCUAUCCGGGAAGAAGCAAAUGCUGGAACACACAACGUAUGCAAGUCUUACUACUACGGAAGAAGAACCAGCAUGAUGAAGAUGAUAUGCAU